GAAUACAACAUGAAGCAGUGAAGAGCCAACAAUAACAAGUGUCAGGAAGCAAGGGAAGAAGAGGAAUAAUAAGAAUCGAUUGAAUGCUCAAACGAUGAAGCCUCAUUUUCAUAGCAACCAGCUUGUUUGCGAGACUCUGAAAUAGGCUUAUGUGCUCAACAAUAUUACCACCAUCUUUAUACUUCAAAUUUACAAGUCUUCUGAAUA
rnacentral:lncRNA from 1 species